rnacentral:tRNA from 1 species
UGCAUCGGCCGUGAAUCGAACCCGCGUGGCAGGCGAGUAUUUUACCACUGAACUACCGAUGC